GCCGGGCUUGGUAACGCGAGCCUGUGACUCAAGUGAGGGCUUUAAAGUGGGAUGGACUGUGAUUGAGCCCAGAUUGGUUGGGUCAAGUUGGAGCAAUAUCUGGCUUGCCCGUUCCAAGUUUGGAGUUGGGUGGUUCAGGCGAAGGCCUGGGCUACUUGGCUCCUAAAGUUGAGGGCAAUGCGUUAGGCUGGUCAUGUGGUUCAGGCGAAGGCCUGGGCUACUUGGCUCCUAAAGUUGAGGGCAAUGCGUUAGGCUGGUCAUGUGGUUCAGGCGAAGGCCUGGGCUACUUGGCUCCUAAAGUUGAGGGCAAUGCGUUAGGCUGGUUUCACAGAGCUGCGAGAACCUCACGCUCUAGACAGUGGAAGGAUUACAUGUCGGUGCACCCUUGGCUCAGUUAACCAUCUUGGUUCUUUCUAAUGAACUCCCACUUUU
rnacentral:SRP_RNA from 1 species